GACUCCAAGGAUCCAAGCCUGUUUCUAACUGCGCCUCUCCGGAUCAGACAUUUACUCUAAUAAUACAGUUGCCCCUAUGAAUGGGGAGUCUAAGAAACAGAGGAAAAUAGAGCUCUGUCUGCCAAGCUGUCAUCCCACACCUGAAGGCUGUCCUGACACUGAGGCAGUGGACGACGGGGCAGAGAAAGGUGUUGUUCAAAAAGACAAAGGGCAAACCAGCUGUGCGGUUAUUCCUCAAGAUGGUCCCCCCGAGAAGUGCUGUUGGAGUGAAGAGGCUUGUGAGCUCUACUGGGG